GGCUCUGUAGCUCAGUGGUUUGACCACUGGCCUUAUAAACCAGGGAUUGUGCGUUUAAUCCUUGCUGGGGCCU
rnacentral:tRNA from 1 species